rnacentral:lncRNA from 1 species
CAAAGCUGAAAGGAGUUGGAGGUCUAAGGAGCUCUUUGACAUCAAACAUAGAGAUGCAGAAUUUGGUAUCAACCCUGUUGCUGUCUGGUUUUCAUUUGGUGCAGUAUUUCCUCACUCUGCUCCCUUUCCUCCCUUUUAGAAUAGUAGACUGAGAUCUCUACAUGAAGAAGAAGGGCAGAAGGAGGGCUGGAAGACAGAUGUGGGACAUGUGCUCCUGUGGGAUCUGUCCCAGGACCUGGCCCAUCCUAAGAAAAAAUUCUGACACCAUGGAAGGAGGCUUUGCACACCUGCGACUAGAAUCCUGUUCCACGCACACAAAGGGGCCCAGAGGGUCAGCGGCAGAUUUGACGCCCGAACAGGGACACCAGAGCAGGAGAUAAGAAGAGUAUUCCUUCGGGUCCCUGCCUGCAUUGUGGCAAAGGAAAGCACUGGAGAAUGAUUGCAAGUCAAAAUCCCACAAAGAUGGGACUCCACUCAUUAAAGAAGCAGGUAAGGCAAAAAACUAAAGGGGCAGUCUCUUAGCCCCAUUCAGGAACUGUGG